GUCUACAGCCAUACCACCCUGAACGCGCCCGAUCUCGUCUGAUCUUGGAAGGAACCAGGAAUUCCAUGCUGCAUCUCACCUUGGUGGUUGUAGGUC
ensembl:rRNA 5S_rRNA 5S ribosomal RNA